rnacentral:tRNA from 1 species
UAGCUCAGUGGUAGAGCACUUGCCUAGCAUGUGCAAGGCUCUGGGUUCAAUUCCCAG